rnacentral:rRNA from 1 species
AGAUUGAACGCUGGCGGCAUGCCUUACACAUGCAAGUCGAACGGCAGCACGGAGCUUGCUCUGGUGGCGAGUGGCGAACGGGUGAGUAAUAUAUCGGAACGUACCCUAGAGUGGGGGGAUAACGUAGCGAAAGUUACGCUAAUACCGCAUACGAUCCAAGGAUGAAAGUGGGGGAUUCGCAAGAACCUCAUGCUCGUGGAGCGGCCGAUAUCUGAUUAGCUAGUUGGUAGGGUAAAAGCCUACCAAGGCAUCGAUCAGUAGCUGGUCUGAGAGGACGACCAGCCACACUGGAACUGAGACACGGUCCAGACUCCUACGGGAGCAGCAGGUGGGGUAAUUUUGGACAAGUGGGCGAAAGCCUGACUCCAGCAAUCGCCGCGUAGGAGUGAAGUAACGGCCGUUUACGGGUUAGUAAAGUCGUU